UUGUUUUCAAAGGCCAUAUUAUUUUCAUAAUUAUGGCCUUCAAUGUUUAAUUGUAAUAUCCCUUAUAAUCCACAGUGAUUACUCGUAAAAGAGAAAUCAAUAUAGAACAAACAGUAGAUGUGGGUAAAUGUAUGUGCAUUGACUUGAACAGUCACCUGCAAAAGUUUAAAGUCAGGUUGCUCAAUGGAUUGAAUAAUCUCAGUUGGAAAGCAGCACUAAGUGUGUUCAUAUGCCCCUCACUCAUCCAGUAUACGUAAAUGUAACCAAAUGUAGUAUAUGUAACCAACACACUCUCAGACUUUAGCGCAAUAAGUUAAUAUGUUGUGUUAUGCUGUUGAGUUGAGACUGUGAAUUGAACGAUUAUUAAAAUGAGCAAGCUAGAGACAACUAUUGCAGUGUUUAUAAUUUGUGGUAAUUGCAGCAUGAUGUUGCAAAAGAACAUAAAUAAUGCUCCUCUCAAUGUUUCUAUCUAUGCCUUUCGUUCAUCUCUUAGUCUCUCUGAAAUUAAGCAGCAGAGCAUGGCACAAGCACUGCUGCUUACGUUUAUAAUGGAGUCAUCAGUGGGUUUCAGACAGAGGCAACUCCUGUCCCUUAUGCACAUAUGUUUUGGUAUUUUCAAGACUGUUCCUGUCAUACCAAAGCCAAGGCUCACUGGCCCCUCAUGGUAUUGAAGCUUGCUCACCAAUUACUCAGAGUGGAUGAUACAUUUUCUGGAUUUUGUCAGGUGCCAUCUGUCUUGCCCUAAUCAUGGUAUGAAAGGUCACAGCAAAUUUAAUAACAAGCUGCUCAAGAAUGUGUCCCAGCUAGUGUCGCAACAUACCCCCUGGGUUCAUUCUUAAGACUGGGAAAACAUGGGGAAGGCAGGAAAUGGAAAUUCAAGACGAUGAGCAAACCGAGAACAAGAUGAAAGCAGGAGCCAACAUUUCAACAAGUGGACUUGUCUUCUUCAAGGCGACAUAUGCUUUCCUCGCCACAGUUACAGAUAUUAAGAAUCAAUUU